rnacentral:rRNA from 1 species
UGGGGAAUAUUGCACAAUGGGCGCAAGCCUGAUGCAGCCAUGCCGCGUGUGUGAAGAAGGCCUUCGGGUUGUAAAGCACUUUCAGCGAGGAGGAAGGUGGUGGACUUAAUACGUUCAUCAAUUGACGUUACUCGCAGAAGAAGCACCGGCUAACUCCGUGCCAGCAGCCGCGGUAAUACGGAGGGUGCAAGCGUUAAUCGGAAUUACUGGGCGUAAAGCGCACGCAGGCGGUUUGUUAAGUCAGAUGUGAAAUCCCCGGGCUCAACCUGGGAACUGCAUUUGAAACUGGCAAGCUAGAGUCUCGUAGAGGGGGGUAGAAUUCCAGGUGUAGCGGUGAAAUGCGUAGAGAUCUGGAGGAAUACCGGUGGCGAAGGCGGCCCCCCUGGACGAAGACUGACGCUCAGGUGCGAAAGCGUGGGAAGCAAACAGGAUUAGAUACCCUGGUAGUCCAGCGCUGUAAACGAUGUCGAUUUGGAGGUUGUGCCCUUGAGGCGUGGCUUCCGGAGCUAACGCGUUAAAUCGACCGCCUGGGGAGUACGGCCGCAAGGUUAAAACUCAAAGGAAUUGACGGGGUCU